UUCGUCUCAAAAUCUAGCCUGAUAUGUCCGUUUUGCGUUGGCCCUUUAACGGUUGGGCUACUGAAGAACAUCUGCAAAAAUGUUUAAUAAUGUAACGUCUAUUCCAUCUUUAAUUACUUCACAUGUCCAUCAUUGUUUAUUAGUAAAUAUAUAAGCAAUAAUUCCACCCAAAAUAGUAAUCUCAACGUUCCUAUUGAUCGCCAAAUUGUUUAUAGUCCAAUAGUACGGCAUCGUUCUAUAUUUUAAAAAAUAAACACAGCUAAAAAUUUAAAAUAAUUAGGUUUCGAACUUAAGAUUUCGGUACCAAAUAUCAACUUUUUAGCUAACUGUAUUAGAUACGGCCAGUAAAUCAUCUUUUUCUGUUAAUAUCAACCCCACAAUU
rnacentral:lncRNA from 1 species